AAUAUGACGAAGUCAUAUUUUAAGAUGGUUCCGACGACCUGCCGUCUGGCGAAUGCGAGGGGGCGAUACGAAUU
rnacentral:sRNA from 1 species